ACCACCAAAGCCUGAACAAAGGCAGGUUGAAAAUAUAUUUAACAUAACUAAAAUUAACCAUAAAUUAUGUUAACAAUUAAUCAUAUUAUACAUUACCUGAUUAAACAUUACAUGACACACACAUCUUAACAGACGGAGCAUCUGGAGCCGAUUUUCUAGACACCAAUCACCCAGAACCAAUACAAAUCUGAGAGCAGAAUACAUGGCAAACAACACAUGUACAGUGGCAGGAAACAAGCCUUUCUCCAAACCUCAUAUGCCGUCACCAAAGAGUGAGCCAAAAUCCUACCAUUUUUCCACAUUUUGCAAUAGAUGUUUCAUCCAGUUUACUUAUUUGCAAGUGAGACUGCCAAGAAGGGCAAACCUGGGAACAUGAUGGGACCUCUGCUACUUCAUCUGCUUUUACAAGGUAUAGCAUAUGUUUUCCUCACUUCUUCAUAUAAUAAAUGCAGCUGACAAGGGUAUACAGUAUGAAAAAAUGUCACUGUAGAUAUUUUAAAAUAUUUGUAAACAUUUUCUAACCUCAGAGGUCAGGUAUUUCAGCACCUUUAUUUCUGAAAAUUUCCGUUGUCUUUUCUUGUGCUUCUUCUUUGUCAUUUUACUGUGUUGUACAACUGGCAGACUAAGUAUGUGGCUAAAUUUAAGGCGAUGCAUUUUUAGAGCCUUGCUGCAGUUGGUUGGUAAAAAUGAUUCCGUAUUUAUGUGAGAUCAGCAAAGGAAUUCUUAGCCAACAUAAUUUCGAUUUAACAUAAUAACACUGUACACUCUUAAGAAAAACUAGACAGUACCAGAAAAGGGUUCUUCAGCUUGUAACAAUAGCAGAACCCUUUUUUGGUGCUAAAUAGAACCCUUUUUAUAGGGUUCCAUAAAGAACCAUGUUUUGAAAGUGCUAUAAAGAACCUUAAUGGUGCAAUAAAUAACCUUUUUAAUGAUAGUUUAUUUUCAUUAUUAUUUAGUAUAUUAGUAUA
rnacentral:lncRNA from 1 species